AGGGAUGUAGCUCAAUAAUACAGUAUUUGCCUGGCAUGCAAAAGGCCUGGGUUUGAUUCCCCCAGCACUG
rnacentral:tRNA from 1 species